UCUGGUUACUGCGGCGCGAAGAACCAUGAGCAGCAAAGUCUCCCGAGACACCCUGUACGAGGCGGUGCAGGAAGCCCUGCACGGGAACCAGCGCAAGCGCCAGAAGUUUUUGGAGAUGGUGGAGCUGCAGAUCAGCCUGAAGAACUAUGACCCUCAGAAGGACAAACGCUUCUCGGGCACCGUCAGGCUUAAGUCCAGUCCCCGCCCCAAGUUCUCUAUAUGUGUUUUGGGGUAUCAGCAGCACUGUGAUGAGGCCAAGGCAGUGGAUAUUCCCCACAUGGACAUUGAGGUGCUGAAGAAACUCAACAAGAAUAAGAAAUUAGUCAAGAAGCUGGCCAAGAAGUAUGAUGCCUUUUUGGCUUCAGAAUCUCUGAUCAAGGGGCGCCUGGUGAAGGCAUUUUCAACCCCUUUUGGUGCCAGGGCUUGA